rnacentral:lncRNA from 1 species
GGGCCUUAAGGGGGGUGUGAGAGCUACCUCUGAAAUCUGAGUUACUGUGUUUCAGCUCUUCAGUUUCUUUGUUUGCAGCUCUAUUUUUGCAGUUCCUACGAUUUAGUGACUCUCACACGUUGCAUAUGCUUCGAGUGUUAGGGAGAAAACACUCAGUCCCUUUUCCUAUUCCAUUUAUCGGACUCUCAUUAAUUUCCCUUCCAAUCCCUGAGAUCUUGUGGAGCUAUUAACAGGUUCUAUGUUUACGCUUGUCCAAAUCUCACUUGUUUUAUGAGCUGUUGGUUUAAUAGCUACAAAAUGUUUCAUAGCAUCUAGUGACGAUCCCUGCCGAGUGGAUCUACUUUCGCCUAGCCACCAGAGUCCUGAUUUUGGCUUCUGUCUUUCUAACAGCUAAGGGACCAGUCACUAUUGAAUACAGAUCUGAGGGGCUUUGGAUCCAGAUGGCAGGUGUAGGGAUGAUCUCUCUUCCCAGAGGAGACAAAGUUCCUUGCCUGAUAUUUGGCACAACCCCUGCUGAGCACAAGGAAAAGUUGGUGAGCGCCGAGCACCCUAGCAGGGCCUUCAUGACUGCCAACUUUGAGUUUCAGAGGGCACUUUGUGCUUGCGGAUGCCCUUACGUUCAAAAUGCGGAUUGAACAAGCGUUAAUUCCUCAGUCCUUUCCCCCAGACGGAGCCACACAGAUGGGCUGAUUAAAAUCAUAGGUCUGUGUUAAAGGAAAAUUAUUGCGUUAGAGGAAGCAUUUGGGGAAAGUGGGCGAUGGGUUGGGGAAAACGAUAACAAACAAAAGCAGAUGGAGCGUCUUGCUUGGCAAGAGAUUAUUCCAUUAUUCUUUUAUUAUCUAACUUCUGAAAUGGGAGAACAUAGAAUAAUGGAAGAUACAGAUUUGCCAGUAAUAAAACAUCAGGUUAAACUCCUUCAGGGCCAUAACAACUAAUGGGCUAUUGUUUAGUAGUUUUGCAAAAGCUUGAUCCUCUUUGUCUUCAUUUGUGCUUUGCAGUGGUUUGCUCAGGCAAGGAGCUACCAUGACAUCAUGUGCAAUGUGUCCAGAUCCCUAAAACAAACCCUUCCAAUUAGUACGUUGAAAUGGAGGACACUGGCCACUCCAGCAUUCUCCCUAGAAAACAUUUCACUGGGAGGGCUCUGCUAUCUUUAAGCACACUGGUUCUUUUGUUGGAGAGACUGUUAUUCCCAAAGUAUCUGGGUUUAUGUAAUCCGAAAAGAAUGUAGCUCAAGUAACAAUGAUUUUGAAGUUUAUGUUGCAGAAAGCAUGAUAGUCAGGCAUUUGUCCGAGAUGAUGUAAAGAGAACUUUAAUUAAACUUAAGGAAAUCAAAUUUUAAAAAGGAGGUUAAAAACAGCUUGCGGAUCUUCUGGGGAAUAUAAGGACCCUACCAUUAAAAAGCAAAUGAACCCACUAGUCCAAUGAAUUAUAAACUGGACUCCAGGAAUAGGAGUGCCUUUUGUGAGCACAAUUUUCUUCUAAAACCAUGGAGCAAAAUUACUGACUUCGGCGGCUUUCAAAGAAUGGGAAAAUGAACCAGGGUAAGAGAACAAAGACGAUCAGCACCAAGGCGUGUUUGGGGCAAAGGUCUAAGGUCAGGGUGCUGAAGAAAUUUGGGGUAAUUAUCCACGAGACCCUAGUACCUGGGAGAUUCAUCAUUACACAAGCUCCAGAGGGAGUGGAGUAUCUGUCUUCACAUCACAAUCUGUGAAUCCACUGGAUUAAAAAUGUGGAUCCUCUCGACUCUUUAGGAGCUUUGGGGUUUUAAGAGGUGAUCUGCUACUUUUAGCCUGGUGGCUUGGGUAAGCUACUUCACAUCUCUGAGGCUUGAUUGAUACAUCUUCCAAAUGGAGAUUGUACUCCCCACCUCGUACAUUUUUUGGGAGGAUUGGUAACAGACACAGAGAAAGGAUCUAGCAGAGGGGGUGGCAUAUGGUAGAUGCUCCAUAGAUGGGAUCUUUUCCCUCCCUUCCUUCUGUUCCCCGUUCUGGAAUGGGAACAUGAUAAUAAAAUAUCUGGUUCCAUAGACACAAGGACACUGAUAAAAGUAUUGGCCAUGCCGUGUGGCAUUUACUGUUUUUAAGAGGGUUAGGUAAGAAUUAGGUAUCCAUAAGGUCCCAAAUACUAUGUUAAGAACUAGAGUGUAGUGAUAAAGACAUUAUAAGCACAUGAUUCUACUGUUCUGGGGCUUACAGUCUGGCAGGCAGUGGAAAGAAAUCCCAUUUUAAGUGGUUACGUAGAAAGUUUCCUUCAAAGGGUAGAGGCUGAAGUGUUUUGAGCCCUUAGAGGACCAGGGGGUUUGGGGGAGGGUGGGUCUGCUGGGUUUAGGGUAUGAUCUCAGCAGCAUCAGACACAUCCCUCUACCUCAGGCCACACAGCGCCCUUGAGCAGGCCACCCCAAAUGCCACCAUCCCCUGAGAUCACUGAUGGCCUGGAAGCAGGUGGUGAGGCUCAAAUGAGAAAACAUCUGUGAAAGAGUUUUGGAAUAUAUAAGUCACUAGACAGAGACAGGGCCCUUUUGUCACCUUGGGCUCUCUGCAGGCCUGCACCCUGGGGAGGUCUGACCUCCUGCAGCUGGCUCUGCUCUCUGAGGUACACUCCUGGGGUGGGGGUGGGGGAGGCUCCAGGAGGCCAUUCUGAGACCACUCACGUAUUUCAUAGCAGCCCACAAGCAGACAAAACUGUCAGAAAUAAUGAUAUAUUACUACUUAAAUUCUAAUCAUCCCUAUAGAGCCCCCCACCCUCCUCCCAAUCUAUA